rnacentral:tRNA from 1 species
AGCGACCUGGGCAAACGCCCAUGCACUCGCCUUGAAAGCGAGAGACGGCUAACACCGUCCGGGGGUUCAAAUCCCUCCGCCA